AACGCGAAGAACCUUACCAGCCCUUGACAUGCCACGACGGUUUUCAGAGAUGGAUUCCUCCCCGCAAGGGGCGUGGACACAGGUGCUGCAUGGCUGUCGUCAGCUCGUGUCGUGAGAUGUUGGGUUAAGUCCCGCAACGAGCGCAACCCUCGCCCUUAGUUGCCAUCAUUCAGUUGGGCACUCUAAGGGGACUGCCGGUGAUAAGCCGCGAGGAAGGUGGGGAUGACGUCAAGUCCUCAUGGCCCUUACGGGCUGGGCUACACACGUGCUACAAUGGCGGUGACAAUGGGAUGCAAUGGAGCAAUCCUGCGCAAAUCUCAAAAAGCCGUCUCAGUUCGGAUUGUGCUCUGCAACUCGAGCACAUGAAGUUGGAAUCGCUAGUAAUCGCAGAUCAGCACGCUGCGGUGAAUACGUUCCCGGGCCUUGUACACACCGGCUAC
rnacentral:rRNA from 1 species